AUUGAACGCUGGCGGCAUGCUUUACACAUGCAAGUCGAACGGUAACAGGGUGCUUGCACCGCCGACGAGUGGCGAACGGGUGAGUAAUGCGUCGGAACGUGCCGAGUAGUGGGGGAUAACGCAGCGAAAGUUGUGCUAAUACCGCAUACGUACUGAGGUAGAAAGUGGGGGACCUUCGGGCCUCACGCUAUUCGAGCGGCCGACGUCUGAUUAGCUAGUGGGUGAGGUAAAGGCUCACCUAGGCGACGAUCAGUAGCGGGUCUGAGAGGAUGAUCCGCCACACUGGGACUGAGACACGGCCCAGACUCCUACGGGAGGCAGCAGUGGGGAAUUUUGGACAAUGGGCGAAAGCCUGAUCCAGCCAUGCCGCGUGUCUGAAGAAGGCCUUCGGGUUGUAAAGGACUUUUGUCAGGGAGGAAAUCCCUAGUGCUAAUAACACUGGGGGAUGACAGUACCUGAAGAAUAAGCACCGGCUAACUACGUGCCAGCCGCCGCGGUAA
rnacentral:rRNA from 1 species